rnacentral:rRNA from 1 species
UACGUAGGGGGCAAGCGUUAUCCGGAUUUACUGGGUGUAAAGGGAGCGUAGACGGUUAUGCAAGUCAGAAGUGAAAGCCCGAAGCUCAACUUCGGGACUGCUUUUGAAACUGUGUAACUAGAGUGCAGGAGGGGUAAGCGGAAUUCCUAGUGUAGCGGUGAAAUGCGUAGAUAUUAGGAGGAACACCGGCGGCGAAGGCGGCUUACUGGACUGUAACUGACGUUGAGGCUCGAAAGCGUGGGGAGCAAACAGG